rnacentral:rRNA from 1 species
CGGCGGCUCGAGUGGUGACCACUUUUAUUGGGCUUAAAGCGUUCGUAGCUGGAUUGUUAAGUCCCUUGGGAAAUCUAACGGCUUAACCGUUAGGCGUCUAAGAGAUACUGGCAAUCUAGGGACCGGAAGAGGUGAGAGGUACUCCAGGGGUAGGAGUGAAAUCCUGUAAUCCCUGGGGGACCACCUGUGGCGAAGGCGUCUCACCAGGACGGCUCCGACAGUGAGGGACGAAAGCUGGGGGAGCAAACCGGAUUAGAUACCCGAGUAGUCC